CUGGCCUCUUUGGGCGUUGGCUCCUUUGCUUUCAUAUGCUUUUUGUGCAUAGUCAUCAUGGCACCCACAGGACAAGCUCCUCAAAAGAGAUUUGGCUGAUGGGAGUCCCUUCCAACUGGCUCCUGUGUCCUUUUAUAAGCUUGGCGUUUUUGGAGGAACAUAUUCUAUUGAUGUGUCCACCCCACUUCAGCUGUUUUUCUAACUCUGGUUUCCUGGCUCAUAAAGAAGAAACAAUUUGAGGGCGUGGCAUUCCUGAUGACUCUCAGCGCCCAUAUAGAUCUAGGCGGGGCCAUCGGACUGACCAGCUGAGUUCUGGCCAAUGGAAUAUGGGCAGACGUGAUGAAACUACUUCCAGAUCUGGCCCCCAAACCCUCCUGAGUGAUCAUGUGGCACUCGGAUUCGGCCUUCCAGAUUGGAAACUCCUUGAGAGAAGUUUGCAGCCUUCCCACAUCCUGAAGCAUAGCUGGAGAAGAGCUCCCUCUGACCCUGGCAGUGGACUCAGGCCGCCAUGUCCCAUGAGUAUUGGAGAGUCAUCCUGCCUGAGUCUGGAAGUUGCUCUGUUCCUGCUCAUCAGUAGCCGGAGCAACUGAUGGGGACGGAAGUGUGGGCCUCCUUCAGAGCUGUUAAAAAAUCAAUGACGCUGGCGGAGAAAAAAAGGGUGGGGAAGGAGGUCAAUAUGGAUCAUAAAUGCGAGCAUCUUUUUCAUUCACUGCUUCCUAGCCUGUCCCCGCCCCUAGGCCAGCUCCCACACAGGAUCGUCACCAAGAGCGGGUUUAAAUUUGCUUUAACUGGUAAGGCCCCAAGCUCCAGUGUGGCCGUAAAUCAGGGGCUGGAGGUGCAGCAGCUGGAACUCAAUGGGAUUACCCUAUCUUGUGACCCGCUGAGCGAGCUGACUGAGGAGCAGUCCCCGUAUCCACUGCUGGGGACACUAAAAUUGUCCUGCACUGUGUCAGCUGCAAAGGUUUCAUAUCGCGUUAUGGCUUUGUGUUGUCUUGGUGGCUCCGGAGUUGCUAACUCAGGGCAGUUGGCCGAC
rnacentral:lncRNA from 1 species